AGAGUUUGAUCCUGGCUCAGAGUGAACGCUGGCGGCAUGCCUAACACAUGCAAGUCGAACGGUAACAGGCCCGCAAGGGUGCUGACGAGUGGCGGACGGGUGAGGAAUACAUCGGAAUUUGCCCAGUCGUGGGGGAUAACGUAGGGAAACUUACGCUAAUACCGCAUACGACCGGAAGGUGAAAGCGGGGGAUCGCAAGACCUCGCGCGGAUGGAUAAGCCGAUGUCGGAUUAGCUAGUUGGCGGGGUAAAGGCCCACCAAGGCGACGAUCCGUAGCUGGUCUGAGAGGAUGAUCAGCCACACUGGGACUGAGACACGGCCCCAGACUCCUACGGGAGGCAGCAGUGGGGAAUAUUGGACAAUGGGGGCAACCCUGAUCCAGCAAUGCCGCGUGUGUGAAGAAGGCCUUCGGGUUGUAAAGCACUUUUAUCCGGAACGAAACGCGCAGGGUGAAUAUCCUUGCGAACUGACGGUACCGGAGGAAUAAGCACCGGCUAACUUCGUGCCAGCAGCCGCGGUAAUACGAAGGGUGCAAGCGUUACUCGGAAUUACUGGGCGUAAAGGGUGCGUAGGUGGUUUUUUAAGUCCGUUGUGAAAUCCCUGGGCUCAACCUGGGAAUGGCAGUGGAUACUGGAAAGCUAGAGUGCGGUAGAGGGUAGUGGAAUUCCCGGUGUAGCAGUGAAAUGCGUAGAGAUCGGGAGGAACACCAGUGGCGAAGGCGGCUACCUGGACCAGCACUGACACUGAGGCACGAAAGCGUGGGGAGCAAACAGGAUUAGAUACCCUAGUAGUCC
rnacentral:rRNA from 1 species